rnacentral:misc_RNA from 1 species
CGUAUGAAAUUCAUCAGGUUAGAAUGGAUUUGGUUGUAGAUUUAUAUACAAAAAUCAGUGUUUAAAGUGUUCUGGCCUUCCAAACUACAAUACACAGCUAUACCAAUUAUUUAUAUGUUUAUGCUUUUGUUUUAAUUACUGUAUUACUUGUAUGGUCAGUUUGAGAGGUAAGCCACCAUUACUGCAGCUUACAUCUUGUGUGGGAGGUGCCAAAAAACAGUUAUUGAUCAAUCAUGCAUUGG